rnacentral:lncRNA from 1 species
UUUUGUGCAAUUUUAUUAUAAAGAUAGAAUGUCAUUAAAAUACAGAUGAUCCACAUUUUAAAGCAUAUAUAAAUGAGGAAUAAAUCAUCAGUCCUAAAUAUUCUUAAUGAUCUAUUCUGAAAAUGAAGGAACGAGUAUCUUCUUAUGCUCAUAUUUCUCUGUAAAAAAUAAUGCAGCUUAAAGAUUAUGUACAUGCCCAAUCAAAUGUACAGACUAUAUCAGCAUUCCAAAUGUACAAUAAAUAUAUAUAAAUCAUGUAAUAGUAGAACUGAAAUUUGUUGAGUUUUAGUUUUGUUGAUUGCAAUAGAAUUUUUUCCGGAAGAUAUCUUAAAAACUUGAUAUAGAUAUAUUUUCCAUAUAUAUGGGAAAUUUUGCAUCUUUUGUCUCUUUAGCGCUCUCUAUGGGAAUAUAUCUAAAAUUGUUAAUAUGAAAUACUGGAAGAAUUUCUUAAGUUUUGUCAUAUUAUAAAAUUAUGAAACAGAAUAUUUUAGUGAUUCAAUUGAAACAAGUGACAUGCAGGAAAUAUUUUUAAAUGAACUACAAAUAUGAGGUUCAGGAAACUAUAUGUUGACCAAUUAACCAUGAAAAUGAGUUCAAUUCAACUCUGAUAAAUGGAUGUUAGCACUUUACAAUGUAAAACCAAACAAAGAAAACAGUAAUUAAGCAACAUGAGCAUAAAAGUUUGACAUUGAUCAUAAAACUGGGAAAAAAUAGUGUGGACCUUCUAGUCUUAAAAAUCACAAAAAUCAAACAACAAAUCAUUGAACCAUUAACAUGAGGUCAAGGACAAAUGUUGAUUCAAAAAAAAAUUUAAACCACGUCAUAAAAAUACAAAAUUUGGCUUGUCUUAAUAAUGUAUCUUUUUAUAUAUUAGGCAUUUCACAAAUAGUUAACAUUGUUACAAACAGAUUACCAUACAUAUGUUUGGCUUUUGCAUCAGACAAUGAUGUAUGGUAAAUCAAAUGCAUAUUCAAUGUAAGAAAAUGUUAAUGUGAUAUGAAUAAGAACCCCCUAUAUUAUUUAUUUUCAGUAUAUUUUCAGGGCAAGCCAUGCCUUUAAUAAAGUACUCCUUUUAGAAUUUGCUAUAUUUUGUUUCCUCAUAAAAUAAUCAAAGUAACCUUCAACCUCUCUCAAACAAAUAAAAAGAUUGAAUUCUGUAUUUCAUUACAACAUAAAAUCAAACAGUAACUGUCAAAUCAUAUUUAAGCAGUAACAAAACAGCAUUCAUUCCUCUCAGAAAAAUUAACAAUAAAAACAAACAAUUCUAAAUUUACCCCUUAAUCUAAGAUCAAUCUAAAUGUUCUGUAAUGCAUCCAGUCACACAGAUAUUUGAAAUAUAACUUCAAAAAAUGUUAUUUGCAAGCUCGGCUAUAUCACAGACAGAUUUAACUACAAAAAAUAAAAGUUAAAAUCCAGUAAACAAGCAGAUUAUGUAAUCAAAACUUUGAAAGCACAUAAAAUCACCACAAGUUGACUUCAAUGACUUUUCUGCAACUAAGAACAUAGGUAUUUGAUCUUACCUCUAACAAAAGGAAUUCAUACUUUGUUCAUUGAUAGAUGCUGUUAGAACAAACGCUUUGCAAAAAUUUAGCACUAUUGUUUAAAAUGUUACAAUAUAAGUAAAGGCUAUUCUAUUAAAAUGUGUGUCGGAGGGAAGGAAGGAAGGAAGGGUCAUGGAUCUUUUUUUCAGUGUGCAUAUGUUACAGUGAAUUUGUAUAAUCAGUGAUUAUGUAGAAUCCCUGAAAUUUUCAGGGAUUAUGUAGAAUCACUGGCUAGUUUAGGGAUUAUAUAUAAUCACUAAAAUUUUC